GUGUUUAUGUAUUAGAUAUUAGUUUUGUGUGUUAGAAUAAUCAAAGUCUCGUUUGUAUUUAAAGAGAAGUGUUCUUGUGUUAUGUGCUUACGAAUUUAAUGUCUUAAACUGCUGAUCUUGUUAAGGGAGACAACAACCAAUAAAACACAGAACUAUAACACAUUCAUUAUACAGAAUAAUGGACAUUACCAUAUGAGUGGGGGAAAAAACAGAGUUGAGGGCACCUUGAUGUGUUUUAAAAAAUAUAAUCUUAUGAUAAGAAACAAGGGACAAAGAUGGAAGAACAUUUAAAAUGUCUAAUAUUUUCAUCACAUAUACGAGAACUGCAGUCUGUCAUGUCUAGUUUUGGUUUUGUUUCAUAUUCAUGUUUCAUGUCUUAUUUUGUGGUUUUCACAGUUAUUUUAUGUUGCCAUGUGCUCCUUUUUGUCAUGAGAUUCCCUUGUGCUCAAGUGUUCAUGUCAGUGCUUGUUUAAUCUCUGUGUAUAUAUUGACCUCAGUCUCUGGUCUAGUAGUCAGAGUUGGUGAGUGCCAUGUUCCUGUUUACAGCCAAGUCCAAGGUAAGUCAAGUCAUUGUUUCUUUUGCGGUCCGUGCAGAAACCGCUCUCAUGCGUGCUCCGUGUUCUUACAUAUUAAGUAUUGUUACAGUGAUAUUUUCUAUGUAUUUGUAGUUAAACAGCAGCUGUAAAUGCAUCGUGGGGAAAACGCAACUUUUGUGUUACUGAGGAAACAUACACUUGUAUAUGCCUAAAGGACAACGCCGCAGUUGAACAGGCAAGCAUGUGUCAUUUGAACUCUGCUGUAAUGUCAUCUCUUGGAUUAAGAGUUCAUUCUCAUGAAUAAUGAGAAUUAAUGAGCUCUUUGUCAUGAAUAAAUGCAGAGAAGUGCUCAGAAAUGGUUGACAUCAGCUCAUUCAUCCAGCCCCUACUGGAUCCCCGGCAGCCAAUCACCACUCCGGAUCUUGCCGUCAUAAGGGUGUCAUGGAGGAACUGCUGCCUCGCUCCCUCCUAUUUCUGUCCAGAUGCCAAGCUCUCAACUGGAGUGGGAUUUGGAAGAAGGAUCCUCAGCCCCUGGAACAGCUGAGCCAACUAUACCAGAUGACAGAUGGGCCGACCCCUUCCGAUAUCUUUUUUACCCACUUGUCACUGUUCUCCUCACUAACACUGGCGCCACCUUUGACUGCACUCUUUAUCCAUGACCACUUUAUUACCUUUAUUUAUGUUAUGUUUGCACUUAAAAAUGUAAAAAAAAACCUCUUCAAUUGAUGAUGCAAUCACCAUCAUGUGUCUGUCUUUGCUUUGAGUCACACAAUUCUAUCAUUAGAUAGUUAGCCUAUCUCCUUAUAGGUGGGGUAUGUAUUUUUUCAACAACACUGUUUGGAAGUUAGUCGGGCUGACAUCAACAACAAACGUCUAACCAAUCAGCAUUAGGGGGUGUAUGACGGUCAAGGAGACAGAAUGAGCAAUAGGGAGAUUUGAAAGAAAAAAAAAAGAAUAUUAGUUAAUAUUAGAAAAGCUUUCCAGCGCUGGAGAGAGCUAAGCGGGAAGGCCUGAAAACAGACAUGGAGGAUGCUUUGAUCCCGCUUCGCACGUGAGUAAAACUGAGUUUGAGUGUCAUUGAUUGAUUGUCUGGAGCUGCUGUGCUGUUGGCGACUAACAACAAACACUUGUUUGUAUUUUCUCUUGUGUAUUGUACGUUCAUUUUUUGUGCUUUCUUGACGUUCGUUCAUCAUCUGCACUUUAUUUUUCGUGAAGCAUUUUGUUGCACAUCAGCUGUGAUAAACAGACAUCCACUCUCGCAUUGCGUGUGUAACAGUGGCCAGAUAGUGAGAGUUGCUGCGCACUCACAACCGCUAGAGAAUGCGGUGUUUGGCGUCAUUGUCAGUGCACUCGCCUCGCCUGCCAGAAGCAAACGGGCCGGGGCUCAAGACCGGGUGGGUUUGUUUGGGUUGAGUUCAAAUAUCAACAAUGUCCAACAGCUUUGUUGAAAAAAUGCAUACCCCACCUUUAAGUAGCUUUAGUGUACAUAGCUACUUUAUUUAAUAGCUUCUAGCAUACCUAUCGUAAUUACGUUUUCAUAUGAGUAGCUUGACUGUAGUUGAACUACUUUUGUGUUGUGUGAAUUAUGUAUGUAUUUCAUGUACUGAAGCUAGUUUUAGUGUUAGCUUUCCCAACACUGAUAGUAUCUUGCAAUGAACUCUCGUCCUUCAAAAGCACUUGACAAAAAACACAAGCUGAAGCCGAAGCUCCAACAGUCAACAGUCAUGUUGAUCUUACUGUAUAAUAGUAUUAUAAUAUUCCAUCAUCAAUACUGAGGACAUUAAUACUGUGUACUUUAUAUAUACUGUGUACUUAUUGCCAAGACUUUGUAUUUGUUUUCUGUUGGAUCUACUGUUUAUUAUUAUUUUAUUUCUGUUUGAUCUGUUUAUUAUCUCCCCUGUUCAGUUGCAGACCAGGCCUGGGACAUUUUCAGACAGAAGGGCUAGAGACUUUUUUUAUUAAUAGCAUCACUGGCCACUCAAUAAAUACUCUGGCAUUUCAGUCAUAUUGUAUAUCCCCUGAAUAUUGCUGUAUGUGAAAGAGUUUCAUUUUAUGCUCUUCUAUAAAACACAAUUCACUGAUACACAAGA